rnacentral:misc_RNA from 1 species
CGUUAGUUAACCAUUGGUCAACCCAUGGAGCUAUAAAACAAAGUCCAUGCGCGAACUUGGCCUUGAUGCCACAUUUAUUUAGGGACAAAGCAAAGAGCUAUCUUUGGGACAAAGGCUGAUCAUGCUGAUGGCGUCGAGUGAUACCUUGGCACAAUAGACAAACUAGGCUAUAUUAAAGUGGAGCGAAGGAUCAUACCAGCUGAACACACAAGUGUGCAGCUAGCUGUAGCCGGUGGUGGAGUCCGGAGUUGCAGUAGUUGAUUCGGCGGGCUUUCUCACGUCAAUUAAGUGUGACUAGAUUCUAAGCCAUGGCUUUCCAAAAGUACAUCGAGUUGCCCAACAAAGCGAAAAUGCCAAUUUUGGGGUUGGGUACUUGGCAGUCCAAGCAUGGUGAAGUGACAAAUGCCGUCAAGGCUGCGCUGGAGGUUGGCUACCGUCAUCUGGACUGUGCCAUGAUAUACGAGAACGAAGCGGAAGUGGGUGCCGGCUUGAAGGCCAAGAUCGAUGACGGCACGGUGAAACAAGAGGAUGUAUUCAUCACCAGCAAGCUGUGGUGUACGAUGCACCACCCCGACGAUGUGGCAAAGGCCUGCCAAAUGACUCUGGAUCAACUUGGGGUGGCCUACCUGGACCUUUAUCUGAUGCACUGGCCGAUGGCUUUCAAGAGGGGGGAAGUACUCUUUCCAGUGGAUGAAAACGGUGUGUUGCAGGUGGAUGACAUUGAAUACACCGACACCUGGCUCGCGAUGGAGCAGCUGGUGGAAAAAGGCAUGUGCAAGGCCAUCGGCUUGUCCAACUUCAACCUGAAGAUGAUCAAGGAGAUUCAGGCUAUCAACAAGGUCCCGAUAGCCAACUACCAGAUUGAGCUUCAUCCUUGGCUGACCCAGGAAGAGCUUGUACAAUACUGCCAGGAUAACAACAUCUCCGUCACGGCAUACAGCCCCCUUGGCUCACCAGAUCGUCCAUGGCUGAAAGACACCGACCCUAAUCUGAUGGCUGACCCCGAGGUGAUGCGAAUCGCCGAGGCCAAGGGGAAGAGCCCUGCUCAGGUCUUGAUCCGCUUCGCUCUCCAGCGAGGCAUCAUCUGCAUCCCCAAGAGUGUCACACCCUCCAGGAUCAAGGAUAACUUUGAGGCUCUAGAUUUUGAGCUGAGUGCCACUGAUAUGAAAGACCUGAUGGCCCUCAACAAGAACUAUAGAGUCUGCGCGGCAGAAUGGAUCAAGCAUCGUCAUCACCCCUUCACCCCACUUGCCUCGUAAAUGAAGACAAUAGAAGGAACACAUCACAGCUGAGAUAUGGAAGUCUCAAAAACUUCAAUUUUUUUUCUACUGUGAUCACCAAAGCUCUAUCAUACGCAGAUUAAAGUUUAAUUUCCAAAAACUUGUAUCAAUCAUUAAUGUAGCUGUGAUUUUAAUUAUUUCACUGAACAAAACUAGGAUUGUGAACAUUAUUGGCCACAACUUGCUGUGCCCUCCAACACUAUUGAAUCAAUUACAAGCAUCGUUUGUUUAUAUUCCGUUGAAUAACGAGUACCCUCAUUUUGUUUUGUAUACACAAUUUCUUAUACAGUUCAAUGUCCAUUAAAAUGGGUUGGUUUGCUCAGAUCGGCGGUGUAUUUAUCUAAAUUUAGGCUAUACAUCAAACUCCUGAACUAUUCAUGACAUGUACAGUGUGGAACUAGGAUUAAAGUAUUAAGUCCAAAUAUGAACUUCAGGUUUUUUACACGACAUUAACACUGACAGUCCUGAUUUCUCCAAUUUUGAAACCCUCGCCCCCAAGUAGUUCUCUGCUAGAUCCCUGCUAAAUUCAACGGAGUCCGACGGUUACCCAUAUGAGUUUCCUGCUCAAUCCAACGCAGUCCCAUGCAACCCAACAGGCCCAGUUGUUGGAUACCUGAAAUUAUAAAAUGACUGGCAUGCUCAAUCCAACAGAAUCCAACAGAAUCCAACAGAAUCCAAAAGUGCCUUAUUUUUCUGUUUGCUGCUGGAUCCAACAGAGUCCAACUUGGCUUUAUUUACCAAAACCCAACAGAAUCCGAUUGGGGUGUUGUCACUUGCCUGCUGAAUCUAACAGAUUUCAACAGGAAUAUGUAGAAGGGUUUUACUGCUCAAUCCAACAGGAUCCAACGGAAACGUAAAAAUAGUUGGAUCCUGUUGGAUUGAGCAGGGUUAGGUAAAGAUUUUUCACACAUCCGCAGGGUGUUAUGGUUUGAGUGCUGUAUAGACAUUCUGAGAAGAAAAAUAAUUCUGGGAAAGAAACUGCUCACACUUAAUUUUGUUUAGGCCACUGUCAACUUUUCUUUAAUAAUUAUGUGAUCAAAGUGCAACUAUGUGAAAUUCCAAAAUUGCUGAACAGUAAAGUUGUGAUGAGAUAUACUAUAUUUUGUACGAAUAUUUUCAGAAGUGUUCAGUUUAGGAUUAGAUACGAAUUAUGUUCUGGACAAUUUGGUGAAUGGUGGGCUUUUUAAUUUCUUCUGCUGAUUUUAGAUUUCAAUUCUUUCAGUUUAGUUAUAAUGCUUAAAAAUAGUCUUUUUUUUAAAUCGUACUUCAACACAAAAUUGAUAAAAAAAAGAAGCAAUGAAGCAUGUAUCGUUUACACUGUUGUUUAACAACACGUAAAAUGUUUUAUGACGUGUGUGAUGUUCCUUUGCCCGAGACCAACUUGGACAUGUCAGAGGAAACUAUGCAUUGUAUGCAUUAACACCUUUUCAGAAUAUAUGAGAA